GCUUCCCGACCGGUUCCUCCUCCUCCCUGAACCGGUCGCGAGCAGCGGCAUCGCCCCUCCUCCUCCCUGGGCGAUCCGCAACGAGGCGACGGCAUCUCCUCCUCCCUGAUGCCGUCGCCUUGA
rnacentral:ncRNA from 1 species